rnacentral:lncRNA from 1 species
CAUACCUCCAGGCCAGAAAUGGGUGUGGCUGCUGAAUAAUUCAUAGAAAUUCAUAGAGAGGUUAGAGGAGGGGUGGUGUGGAGAGAAGACUGAAUUUCUGUUCCCGAAUCUAACAGUGAGAAGCAUUUGAAGCCAGAGCCCACCAGAACAUGAGGCUAACCUACAACCAGCUUAUCUUGCCUGGACUGCUAAAGACCAUAUUAAUAUCUUGUAGCCAUUAUUUAAAAACUUAACAGAUACAAAGCUCUGUUUCAGCCAGUCAAUUGAUAUGUAUUUAUUGGGCAGCUGGCUGGCAGUCACAUGAUCUGGGCUCAUAAUCUGGCUGUGAAGAUAAGAUGGCCCCACGAUCACAACUUCCAGUUCACAAUACAACAGGAAAAGAUGCUCUGCUUGCUUAUAUAAAGGUCUAAAAGGAGGAGAAAUGAAGAGUUCUGGGAGCGAUAGAUACUGGUCACACUUGCUUUAGGUAUGUCACUAAAGAAGAACCAUAAACAGCAUCUGAAUCUCCAGUUUAGUCAGAGAAACCAGAAGAGAAGAAAAAGAACUUCCCAGGAAGCUGACCCACCCUGGAGGACAACAUGCCUUGGCGUGCAGCAGUGGUCACUGUACACAGGGGAGAAGCUGGCUCAGCAGCGCCCCCCCAGGACAGGACAGGCAUCAGGCUGGGCUCCCCUGUCCGUGGCUCUGCCAGCAGUCGUGAGGCUGGGCCAGACUUCUGUCUUGCCUCCCCAUCCUUUGCAGAAGAGGGACAGCGAAAAGAAUCUGACGGAG